rnacentral:rRNA from 1 species
CCCUUAGAUGUUCUGGGCUGCACGCGCGCUACACUGAUGCACUCAACGAGUUUACGACCUUGCCCGAUAGGGUUGGGUAAUCUUUUUAAAAUGCAUCGUGAUGGGGAUAGAUUAUUACAAUUAUUAAUCUUCAACGAGGAAUUCCUAGUAAGCGCGAGUCAUCAGCUCGUGCUGAUUACGUCCCUGCCCUUUGUACACACCGCCCGUCGCUCCUACCGAUUGAGUGCUCAGGUGAAUAAUUCGGACUGCAGCAAUGUUUGGAUCCCGAACGUUGCAGCGGAAAGUUUAGUGAACCUUAUCACUUAGAGGAAGGAGAAGUCGUAACA